UUAGUUGAGGCAACUUUUUGCUCACCCAGUGGUCUUCAAUUCUCAGCAAGUGACUGAUUAGCCUGCUGCUCACCAGUACACAUAUACCUGGGUGCAGAGUGGUGGCCUUCUGGAUCCCUGAGUUGACCUGUUGUCUUCGCAGGCUUCUGGCUGGGGCCUGUGCACCCUUGGAAUGUAUUGGAAAUUGAAACAAUGGUCUCACAUCUAGAAAGUGCUCCACUACUAAACUACAAAGUUAUGAAGCCUUAUUCUUCAAAGCAUGAAAUGUCUGGGGAUGUAGCUCAAUGGUACAGCACUCCUGAGUUUGAACACCAGUACUGCAAAACCAACAAACCAACCAACAGAAAGGAAAGAAG
rnacentral:lncRNA from 1 species